rnacentral:rRNA from 1 species
GUGAACGCUGGCGGUAGGCCUAACACAUGCAAGUCGAACGGCAGCACCGUAAGAGCUUGCUCUUACGGGUGGCGAGUGGCGGACGGGUGAGGAAUACAUCGGAAUCUACUUUUUCGUGGGGGAUAACGUAGGGAAACUUACGCUAAUACCGCAUACGACCUACGGGUGAAAGCAGGGGAUCUUCGGACCUUGCGCGAUUGAAUGAGCCGAUUUCGGAUUAGCUAGUUGGCGGGGUAAAGGCCCACCAAGGCGACGAUCCGUAGCUGGUCUGAGAGGAUGAUCAGCCACACUGGAACUGAGACACGGUCCAGACUCCUACGGGAGGCAGCAGUGGGGAAUAUUGGACAAUGGGCGCAAGCCUGAUCCAGCCAUACCGCGUGGGUGAAGAAGGCCUUCGGGUUGUAAAGCCCUUUUGUUGGGAAAGAAAAGCAGCAGGUUAAUACCCCGCUGUUCUGACGGUACCCAAAGAAUAAGCACCGGCUAACUUCGUG